GCUCAUCCAAUUUCCUAGGCUCUUUGCAUUCCAGAAUCAGAAGUAAGUAGUUCCUAUGACUGAAAAGUUUCUGGUCAAACAACUACUUCGAGCAGUUUCAGGUCCUAUUUGUGUUAAGCUCAUGAGGAUAGCUAAUCUUCACAUGGCUUCCGACCUGCUAAGAGUGGAGAAAACUUCAUAUUUGCUUAGUGCAAGGACAAGAAAUUGAC
rnacentral:lncRNA from 1 species